UAACUAUGACAGUGCGGCAAUCUGUGUUCUAAAAGAAUGACUCUGGCAGUAGUGUGGAGGGUGGACUGGAAGGAGUAUUUGCUGAAAAGAAUAUACCAUUAUGAUAGAGAUAGGGGGUUGGAAGCAAGUUAGUAUAAUGGAACAUUCUCUGUCUCAGAAGAAGGGAGAGAACAUUCUAUAAAACUCAUUUUGCCCGUGACUCAACUGGCUGAGAAGCACUUUUGAAGUAGAAAACGGGAACUCACCAGGUUUCCAGUGCUCACUUGGUUGUGUUGUGCUGUGCCCAAAGUGUUGCUUCUUCUAUGACCUGAAUCAAGUGUUCUGCAUUAUUCCAAUGUCAGACCUGCCAGAGGGCAAAUUACCAAAUCAACAGUCUCCUUGGAUGAUAAAUCUCGAGCUCUUCAGCAGAACAGCAAGCCAGCUGCUAUUCUCUGAGCUGCCUCAUGGAAGGGCCCAACUGGCAAGCAACUGAGACAAGCAAUCGUCAGAGAAGAAUGGAUGUACCCCAUCCAAAGUCCUGCAAUGAACUUGAAUGAUCCUGCAAUCUCAGAAUUGAAAGAAUCCUAUCAAAAACAAAGAACUUAUGAGCACAUACUGUACAGUAGAACUUGAGAUGACUGCAGCUCUUGUCUGCACCUUGAAGAUUUGCAAGAGUCCCUGAACUGGAAGACCGCACUAAGCUAUGCUCAGUUUCCUAACCCACUGUAACUGUAAGAUAAUAAAUGUUAUUCUUUUA
rnacentral:lncRNA from 1 species